ACCAGGUCUCCUGGAAGAACCAACAAAACAAAUGGUGAGUACAUCAUCUUGAACUGUCACUUUCUCAUAUCCUCCUAUACACUUGCAGCCUCACAAAAAUCCCAACGUUUUAUGAUCCCAUUUUUCGGAUGGAGACAGCACAGAGAGUCACCUAUCCAAGCUGUGCAGUUAGUUGGUGGCAGAGUGAGUGGGAAUCCAGGUCUCCUGACCGUAGCACUUGGACUCUGUCACUCUCUCCCUCAGGGAAGUAGAGCUAAGGUUGUGGUCAAACACUGCAAGGCUGUGUGUCAGGAAUGGCAGGUGCAUGCAACUCAGGUUGCCCACUCCCUAGUCCUGACCCAGGGCAGACAUUGCUAAUCAAUCACAGCACUCUCUCCUCUAAGCCCCAAUAGGAUCUCAGAAUCCUUCUCAACACAGUGCUCCAGGAAGAUGUUACUGGUUGAUUGGAAGUGGUGGGAGAGAAGAAGAAAUCUAUUUGCACAGGUCAAUCGUUAGACAUGUUAUAAAGACAGAAUUCUGAAUUUAGACUUUUCCCCAGUUUAAAGAGCAAUUAAUAGAGUAGUUCUGCACAGAAGCUGAGGAGAUCCGAGGCUUAGGAUGCUGGGAUUUAUUUGGCCCCUUUGCUCUAUGGGGCUUCAAAAUACUGUUAGGAUUUACUCUUACGCUUCAGAGAAGUUUCCAGCAGAGAAAAAUGAGGAGCAGAAUGGGGCCGUCAGGUACAGAAAUGGGAUGAGAACACAGGUGCUGUGUUCCUCAGGUCCCUCGGGCUUGGAGGCUGAGGCAGGAUUAGAGCUCAGGGAGGUCUUCUCGGGAUCGUCAGAGACAGACCAUCAGGAUAGGAAGGGCCUUGGAAGUAGUAAUAUCUAAACUCUCCUGUGAUGGUUCAUUUUAUGUGUCAACUUGGCUAAGCCACAGUACCCAGAUAUUUGGUCAAACACUAUUCUAGAUGUUUACGUGAGGCUGUUUUUAGAUGAGAUUAACAUUUUCAUCAGUAGACUUUGAGUAAGGCAGAUUACCCUCCAUAAUAUGGGCAAUUCUCAUCCAAUCAGUUGAAGAUCUUAAGGGGUUAAAAAACAAACAAACAAACAAAAACCUGAGGCCUUCCAAGGAAGAGGCCAUUCUGACCACAGACUGACUUCAGACUCAAGCUGCAGCAUCAAUGCUUCCAGCCUGCUGGUCUACUCUGCAGACUUCAGACUUGCCAACCCCAUAAUUGGAUGAGCCAAUUCCUUAAAAGAAAUAUCUUUCUUCAUGCUGUGUGUUGUGAGAGAUAUACACACACACAUAUAUAAACACACAUUCAUACAUCCUAUUGGUUGAUAGCACACACACACACACACACAAAUACACAUUCAUACAACCUAUUGGUUUUGUUUCUCUAGAGAACUUGACCAAUACCCACCUCCAUCCUCCAGAUGAAAAAAAUGGGGACUUGAGAAGGGAUGGGGCUUGUAAUCCGUGGCAGAUUUGGUACAAAUGUCAGUCCCAGGCCUAUUUCAUGACCCCAGCUGAGGCCCAGGUGUCUUAGGAAUGAGCUGACCGGGAAGAAAAAUAUCUGGACAAAGACUCCCUUGAAAUGUGGCACUGUUUUUCCACUCUCCUUGGAGAUUUAGAGAGUGCCCUGGCUUGUCAUAAACAAUAUUAGCAGAAACACUGCGUUGCCUGGAGAAGCCAAGCUCCCAGAGGGCGUAAGCAGCGAUUUCAAAGGCCUGCCCCUUCUGGAUGCCGGAAUGAGGAGCCAUAGGGCAGGGGACCCCAGGCAGCUUCUGCUCAGGGCUCAGGACCUCCCAUUGGAGCGACCGGGGACCCACCCAGCCCAUGGGAGACAGUCAGACUCAGUGAGGAUGCAGGAAUUCUCCUCUUCUCUCCCUAAACCCCUUUCUUAGGCCCCAAGAAGGGCCACUGGCGAAGGAGAGCUGGAGUCAGGAUGAACAACACAAGAGGAGGGUCUCAAGCAUCUUCCUGUUCUGCACAUCAGGACCCCCCAGGAUCAGCCUUGAGCCCAGGGUGAACCCCAGUGUGCAGAGCAGGAGUGGACCAUGAAAAGCAGAGCCCAGCCCCUCGUUCUGCAGCCGAGAAAUAGAGGCAGAGGUGGGAGCGACCUGCCCGAGGACUCAGGCCUGUAAGGAGCAGCGCUGUGGCCAGAGCGAGGCUCCCUGCCUCUGGGUCCAGGGCAACCUGCUCUGUCCUGCCUGCACGGCUAGGGAAGAGUCUUUGUGGAAUAAAUGCAUUCUCCAUUCCAGGAUCCAAGCUGAAGAGCACUCAAACAAUGUUUGUGGAUUGCUAAGACUACAGCUCAAGACUGGACAGGACAUGUAAAGCCAACUUAAGAGCCUAGCGUGCUUCAGAAUCAACUGGUCGGUCUCCUUCUGGCUGAACGUCUGUGUAAACUUGCGUGGCUGUCUCAGACAUCUGGGGACGAGGCCCCGGGGGGCAGGGCCUCCCUCCUGAAGCACACAUACCCAUGGUGCAUCCAAGGAAGGGCACAGAGAAAGAGGCCCAGUGUGGCUCACUCUCUUCCUGCCCCACUGAGUUCCAUGGGGGGUUGCGCAGGGUGGAAGAGGCUCUGAAGGACACUGAACUGGGCAUCUGGCUUCAGCGUCUGGGUGUCUGCGGGCUUCUGGCUCCUUCUGCUGACCUGGGCUUGGCGUUCUGCAUCCUUGACCUGCAGCUGUCCCCUACUCCUGGGUUCUGGAGCAGCCCUGAAUUGCUCCUCCUCAUGGUGCCUUCCCCAUCUCCACCUUGGCUCUGUUCUUCUCCACAUACAAACCCUGGCCUAGGUGACCACAAGGCUUGAGGCAGAAUUAGGGCACAGUGGAAAAGCUGCAUCUAACAUCAUAGAGCAGUGUUGCGGCUUCCAUGGGUCCAGGCCAAUGAGUGGGCUGAACUGUCAACUAAGCUGGUUAUAAUCAGACUGUAGGAAGCACAAGAGAACAGAAUAGGACAUGUCACGGGUUCUGCAUGUUGUAAAGCCAAGCUCUUGUUUAGAAAACCUUUGCUGGAGUUUUACAUGUCACGUGCAUUCCUUCUUGGGGACUGCAUGCAAAAGGGUUUUCAAGCCACUGCUGAAAAACUGGGGAGCUGCCCCCUGCAGUACAGGAGCCACCAGCUGCAUGUGGCUAUUGAGCACUUGAAAUGUAGCCAGCCAGUUCGUCUACUCAGAAAUGCAGGCAAACUGAGAUGUCUGUUAAGUGUAAAAUACACACUGGAUUUCAAAGACUUAGCACCAAAUAUGCAAAUGAUCUCAUUAAUAGCAUUCAUAUUGAUUACAUGUAGAAAUAAUAUUUUGGAUACACUGGUUUAAAGAAAAUACAUUAUUAAAGCUAAUGUCAUCUUUUUAAAAUUGUGGCUACUAGAAAAUGCAAAGUUACAUACGUGGUUCCUGUUCUAUUUGUUUUCUUUUUGAGAGACAGAGUCUUUGCUAUGUCACUCAAGCUGGAGUGCAGUGACGAUCAUGGUUCACUGCAGCCUACCUCCCGGGCUCAAGUGAUCCUCCCACCUCAGCCUUCUGAAUAGCUGGGACCACAGGUGUGUGCCACCAUGUCUGGCUAAUUUUUUAAAAAAUUUUGUAGAGGGGGGGGGUCUCACUAUGUUGCCCAGGCUCGUCUUGAACUCCCAGGCCCAAGUGAUCCUCCUGCCUCUGCUUCCCAAAAUCCUGGGAUUACAGGCGUGAGUCCUAUUCUGUUUCUAUCAGACAGCACUGGUCUAGUGUUGGAACUUCUUCAUCAAGUAUUUGUUCUACUGAUCCUACUGAUUCAACUGGAACACAUUCAUUCAUUCUUUCUUUACAACAUGAAUAGCCCUGGAGUGCUGCAUGCUGGCAGACUCGGCACUAAGGACACAGAGAUAAAGACACAGGUGCUCCCCUCAUGUGGCACGCAGCCUUGCAGGGACGUGGAGGCACCAACAGGCAGUUGGGGUCCCGAUGUGGGCAGGGGUCCUAAGGCACAGAGCACAGAGCCUGACCAGGACCUCACGUCUAUGCUGGUGAGGCUGGAGCCAGUCAGAGCUGCAGGUGCUGUGCGUCCAGCCACCUUGUUUCACAGUGAAGAAUCUGAGGCCCAGAAGGUUGCUCAAGGUCACCAAGCAAGCAGGUGGCCGGGCAGGGAGGAGGACUCAGAUUGCCUGACUCCCAGUCGUCGCCCUUUCACGCCUCCUGGCUGUGGGUGUGGUCACUGAGUCCAUCAGUGAGAGCCAGGGACGAGGGGCUGACCCUGUCUGCUCUGUGACUUGACAUUAAAUGUGGUACUUUUCCCUUUCUGCCUACUGGAGUUGACCCUGCCCAGCAUGACAGGAGAUAUCAAUCAUCCACUGCUUCUUUCAAGGACAGCAUCAAAAAUGCCAAAUGCCUCUUUCUCCCAGAGUUCUGCAGGCCCCUGGAAACCUCUGGCUACUCUGGGCAGUGAAAUAAUUAGGUCACAUAGCACACACCCAUGAUAAAUGGAAUGCUUAUGUCAUCGAGGGCCUGUUUAUUUCUCAGAAUGAGUGGUCUUUGUCCUGUAGGCCCUUGGAGAGCACAAACCCACACGUUGGCCAAUCAGUAAAUGACUGCAGGGAUAGUCAAGAUCCAGGGAGGCCAGGUGCAGUGGCUCCUGUCUGUAAUCACAGCACUUUGGGAGACCGAGGUGGGUGGAUCACUUGAGGUCAGGAGUUCAAGACCAGCCUGGCCAACAUGGUGAAACCCCAUCUCUACUAAAAAUACAAAAAUUAGCUGGGUGUGGUGGUGGGCACCCAUAAUCCCAGCUACUUGGGAGGCUGAGGCAGGAGAAUUGCUUGAACCAGGGAGGCGGAGGUUGCAGUGAGCUGAGAUCGCGCCACUGCACUGGGUGACUGAGUGAGACUCUGUCUCAAAAAAAGAUCCAGGGGAUCCUGAGGAGCUCACCGUGCCCAGGGAAGGAGCACUGUUAUAUGGCCCAAUGGAAGCUGCCAGGUGGCAUGAUGUGACUCAGAGUGCACCCCAGACUCCCAAACUUCAGUGCACACCUGGAAGCUUGCACAGACUGGAGAACAGAGGCAGAGAGACACUCUGAAUGUGAACAGGACUGGGCCAAGGUGGGCAUAAGGAAGAAGCCCAUGUCUGAGAGUUAGAAGACUUGGCUUUCAGUCUUUCUCUGCUAGCAAUGAAUGGGGUGACCUCAGACUUGUUCUCCUCAUCUCUUGGACUAGAAGACCUGAGGUCUCUCCAGCAGUACUGUCCAUCAUCUCAGGACUCUCUCGAGGCCACUGGAAUACGGGCCUCCUUCCGACGUCAGGGGACCCUGUAAGAGCUGACCCGCUGCAGGCUAUGGCAUUGGUAGGCCGUAGAAAGAACCAACCAAUGGCACUAGACAGAUGAGCUCCACUUCUAGAAGGAGGAAAGCUCUACGGUCUUUGACUCAGCUGGAGGUUAAGUUCAAUGCAGGAUUCUAGAAUCUCACACAGAAAACCACUUGAUGUGGUUUCAGCCCCUGGGCUAGUGAGGGCUAUCAUUUCUUCCAGGCUGUGAUCAGUGACCUCACCACAUUCCUUUCUGUGGGGUGAUGGCCCAACAUCUGACACUAUGGAAAUAUCCCCUCCUCACUGGACAGGCCACCCCACCCCUUGUCUGUAGCCUAUUCUGCUUCCUACUCAUCCCUUCCCAGCCAUAGCAGCCGACGGUCUGCAGCGGCCUCCCUGCUGGUCAACGCUGAAAAGAUUCCAGGAAAUGACUAUGACUUCCCUCGCUCAAGUCACAGUUGUCUCGGGGAGGGCUGGGCACUCCUAGACUGCAGUCUUUUCGGGGUAAAAACUCCUCCUGUUGAAUGACCAAGGCUCACAAGGAUAAAUGGUGGUCGUGGGGCUUCCUGGGGAGCAGAAAUGACCUCUUCUGUGUCGUCUUCUAGCUGCAACAUCACUUUCCACCAAGGGACCCACUUGAAAGCCUCCCUUCCUUCUGUUUUUUUGCUCACAUGAAAGAUUUGUUCGGGACAGUUAAUAAAAAGCAGGCCCUUUCUCAAUUA